CUUAGCUACGAAAGGCGCGCUGGUGAAUGCUUCAGCAUUCUUGCUUGGCGCUUUGCAGAUGGAUCAUCUCAUCUGAGAAAGCAUUUAAACCCGAUGGUCCCAUUGGCCAAACUCACUGUCCUGCGGUGUAAAAGGUGCACCCCGAGUUUGGGGGGAACACGCAGGGGAGCUGCCUCCCCCAGCCUGCGGAAGCAGCCGACAGGAAGGAUUUCCUGCAGAAGGCAUCUCCUGGGCCAAGGGUCUCCUGUGGACUGAAAUCAGACUUGAUUGUUCCUAGAUGGAAAAUUCCAUGAGAAACCGAACCAGUUAACAAGUACACCAAACCAUGACUCGUGCUGAAAUGACUGCAGCUCCGGCUUGCUCGGACCCCCCGCUGAGGGGGCCUGAGUCAUUCCGAGGCUGGGGUCCACACUCGGGCCAGAAAGAGAGGAAGUGCUGCUGUGGGCAUGGAGAGAGGAGAAUGGGCACGUACGUGUGGUAUAAAUACUGCCGCGAAGGCCUAUUUCAAGCACCAAAGUCACAGAGCAUGGAGUUGGAAAAAGAGACACAGAAGCCCACCGGUGUAUAGUAUUUUCACC
rnacentral:lncRNA from 1 species